rnacentral:lncRNA from 1 species
GUCUGGGUGAGGAGGCAGUGCUGGCCCUGCUGGAGCAUCACUGGUGUCCCCUCACCAGACACAGACUCCAGGACAGCAGGAAGACUUGGACCAAACCACUUGAGGAUGCAUUAAGAAAACCUGCAAUGUAGCUCCUCGACCAAGGAUUGUCAGCCAGUCGUUGCAUCCCUGUGUGGGGAGGAAGGUGAGCAGAGAUUUGCACACAGAGACAUCCUCUGCCUCGGCUGCUUGCCCAGAUUUCCAAUUUGGGCUGCAUGCAUGCAUCCCACCAUGUGAUGCUGGCCUUUUUGCCUGGCACACACAGUCCCAGGCUGGCACAGAACCAGGUGGAACUUGGAGAGGUUGCAAGCCCAGAAGGUUUGUCUUUGAAUACAGUUUUGCUGAAUGGAGUGUUGAGAGUGAAGGAUGAAACAAGCCUUGCUCCUGGGAGAGUUUUCUUAUGGCCUCUGUUCCCUCAAGAGCCACCCAAGCUGGAGUUUCAGAGUGGUUAUUACAAUCACGGCCUCCUCGUGUCACCGCAUGAUGAAAUUAGUGUGGCAUUUUGUGGUGGGUUUUCCUUUGUCUUUUGUUUUGAAAACAUUUGAUCUGUUUUUUAAAAACAAAAAUCCCCAUGGGUUUUCCAACUCCCCCAGAAAUGCCAAGCCCAUCAUUUGGAGUCCUUUUUCUGCUCUCAGUUUGAAGCUCACCUGACAGCCUGCAUUUGCAUGCAGGUGUUCCAUUACACCGAAUUUGUUCCAAUGCACUGCAACCGUUUCCAUACUGUAAAAUUAGGCAGUUUAAUGAAAAAGGCGCUUUUAGAAAAAAACAAUCACAUCACUCAGGUGCUCAGUGUGUGUGCUCCGACCUCCUGCUGGCCUCCGCAAGAGCCAUUCCCCUCCUGGCAUUGUGCAGAGCCACCCAGAUCCCCUCCUGUCCUUUCUUCCUUGUUGUCAGCAGUAACAGUGACAGCCAGACAGGGUUAGAAAUGGCCUUUAGCUGAUGUUUGCCCUCUACGCUCUGGCCAAAAUACAGCUCAUCCCAUAUAAUGUAUAAUCGAUAGGUGAUUAGAAAAACAAAACAAAACAAAACAAAAAACAAACAAAUAAAAAAAAAAAACAAAAACA